GACGAACGCUGGCGGCGUGCCUAAUACAUGCAAGUCGAACGCUUCUUUCCUCCCGAGUGCUUGCACUCCAUUGGAAAGAGGAGUGGCGGACGGGUGAGUAACACGUGGGUAACCUACCCAUCAGAGGGGGAUAACACUUGGAAACAGGUGCUAAUACCGCAUAACAGUUUAUGCCGCAUGGCAUAAGAGUGAAAGGCGCUUUCGGGUGUCGCUGAUGGAUGGACCCGCGGUGCAUUAGCUAGUUGGUGAGGUAACGGCUCACCAAGGCCACGAUGCAUAGCCGACCUGAGAGGGUGAUCGGCCACACUGGGACUGAGACACGGCCCAGACUCCUACGGGAGGCAGCAGUAGGGAAUCUUCGGCAAUGGACGAAAGUCUGACCGAGCAACGCCGCGUGAGUGAAGAAGGUGUUCGGAUCGUAAAACUCUGUUGUUAGAGAAGAACAAGGACGUUAGUAACUGAACGUCCCCUGACGGUAUCUAACCAGAAAGCCACGGCUAACUACGUG
rnacentral:rRNA from 1 species